CCACACACAACAUGCAUACCCAGCUUCCUAUAAAAUCUUUUCAAAGCGAACACAGCGUACCAUUUACGCGCAGGCUGGCCGAGCCCACAGCUGUCCCCUGCACACACGCCCUGCCCCCGAACAGCUGCAGAUCUUGAACCACCCCGGGGGUUCACUGAUCCAUCAUUUCAGGAAACAUGAUCAUCAGGCUGGGCAGGCUGACACCUGGAUACUUCCGCCUUCUCCAGAGGCAGGUCGCUGGUGAGGUUCAGACGCAGUCGCAUGAUCGCACUGUCAACCAGAUCGCCAUGAUGCUGGCCAUCAUGGGUCUGAGUCUGUCUUACUACAGUGCCAAACAGAUGACAGAGAAGGUCCAAGCCCAGCCUGCAGCCUGAAGAGGUUUGGUCGCUCCAGAAUCUGGAGAUGACAGAUGAGCCAAUGAAAACCAGAAGGAGAAACGGAGAUAAAGGGAGGAAGAAAGGCACUGCGGUGGGCCUCGGGACAGCACUUUUCUCACCUUAGUCGUCGAUCACACCUUUCCACUGACUUCCUGGGAUCCUUCACACAUCACCAGCAGAACUUUCAGGGUCAAAUGAAAAAAUAAUUCCCAUUUUCUGGUGCCAGGACCUUCAACAAUUUGGGAGAUUUGCUUAUUUGGGGUCAUGGGGAGAACUGGUUUUAGUGUGUGGAAACCAGCUCACUGCCAAAUGGGUCUGAGCAUUAAUCAUUACAAAGGUGCAUGCUUGCAGGAUACCAUCAGUGCUAUAAAAAGGAGAAAAACUUUCACUGUGAAACAAAUUUUGUCCAAAAAGGGUUAUAUUUUCUGAAUUCUCCUUUUUAAGGGAUGGCUGACUGAGCAGUGCCUCCUGAUGAAGUGAUGGCAGACCCAAAGCAAGACUAAAAGGGGAUGAUACAUUACUUUUAAUCAUUUUUAUUUUUUUGUUCCUCCUCCAGAAUUUCGUAGAGCCUCAGAACAGAUUAGAAUCUGUGGUCUGUCGGUCUACAUGCCAGCUGUGUCUGUCAGUAAAUAUUUGCACAAAACCAUCAAAAACUUUUGAAAUGCUAAAGUGGAAUCUGUAAAGGGAUUCCAAAGUACUCACUGUUUCAUGUGUGUUUUCAUUGUUUUCACAAUUCACAAGUCCUCUGUGUGUGUUGAUGAGAGUCUUUCUUGCAGGAUCUACAAACCUUAAUGCAAUUGUGAAAUGUUGGUGAAAUGCAUGUACAUGAAGAAACGUAGCCAUUGCAAUCUUCAUGAGUCUUGUUUUUUUUUAUUGCUGAAUGAAUGUAUCACUUUAUUUUUGCAAUGAUUUAAUAAAGCUGUGAAUAUUUUAA